rnacentral:rRNA from 1 species
CAGCAGCCGCGGUAAUACGAAGGGGGCUAGCGUUGUUCGGAUUUACUGGGCGUAAAGCGCACGUAGGCGGAUCGAUCAGUCAGGGGUGAAAUCCCAGAGCUCAACUCUGGAACUGCCUUUGAUACUGUCGAUCUGGAGUAUGGAAGAGGUGAGUGGAAUUCCGAGUGUAGAGGUGAAAUUCGUAGAUAUUCGGAGGAACACCAGUGGCGAAGGCGGCUCACUGGUCCAUUACUGACGCUGAGGUGCGAAAGCGUGGGGAGCAAACAGGAUUAGAUACCCCAGUAGUCCCUGUCUCUUUACC